rnacentral:rRNA from 1 species
UGUUGGGUUAAGUCCGUAACGAGCGCAACCCUGUCCUUAGUUACCAGCACGUUAUGGUGGGCACUCUAAGGAGACUGCCGGUGACAAACCGGAGGAAGGUGGGGAUGACGUCAAGUCAUCAUGGCCCUUACGGCCUGGGCUACACACGUGCUACAAUGGUCGGUACAAAGGGUUGCCAAGCCGCGAGGUGGAGCUAAUCCCAUAAAACCGAUCGUAGUCCGGAUCGCAGUCUGCAACUCGACUGCGUGAAGUCGGAAUCGCUAGUAAUCGUGAAUCAGAAUGUCACGGUGAAUACGUUCCCGGGCCUU